GACGAACGCUGGCGGCGUGCUUAACACAUGCAAGUCGAACGGAAAGGCCCUGCUUUUGUGGGGUGCUCGAGUGGCGAACGGGUGAGUAACACGUGAGUAACCUGCCCUUGACUUUGGGAUAACUUCAGGAAACUGGGGCUAAUACCGGAUAGGAGCUCCUGCUGCAUGGUGUGGGUUGGAAAGUUUCGGCGGUUGGGGAUGGACUCGCGGCUUAUCAGCUUGUUGGUGGGGUAGUGGCUUACCAAGGCUUUGACGGGUAGCCGGCCUGAGAGGGUGACCGGCCACAUUGGGACUGAGAUACGGCCCAGACUCCUACGGGAGGCAGCAGUGGGGAAUAUUGCACAAUGGGCGGAGGCCUGAUGCAGCAACGCCGCGUGCGGGAUGACGGCCUUCGGGUUGUAAACCGCUUUCGCCUGUGACGAAGCGUGAGUGACGGUAAUGGGUAAAGAAGCACCGGCUAACUACGUG
rnacentral:rRNA from 1 species